rnacentral:rRNA from 1 species
GACGAACGCUGGCGGCGUGCUUAACACAUGCAAGUCGAACGGAAAGGCCCCUUUGGGGGUACUCGAGUGGCGAACGGGUGAGUAACACGCGAGUAACCUGCCCUUGACUUCGGGAUAACUUCAGGAAACUGGGGUUAAUACCGGAUAGGAAUCCUUGCUGCAUGGUGGGGGUUGGAAAGCUUCGGCGGCUUGGGAUGGACGUGGGGCCUCUCAGCUUGGUGGUGGGGUAGUGGCUUACCAAGGCUUUGACGGGGAGCCGGCGUGGGAGGGCGACCGGCCACAGUCAGACUGAGAUUCGGCCCAGACUCCUACGCGAGGCAGCAGUAGGGGAUAGUGCUCUAGCGGCAGAAGCCAGAUGCAGCCACGCCGCGGGCGGGAUGACGGCCUUCGGGUUGUAAUCCGCUUACAGCAGGGGCGGAGCUUGUGGUGACGGUACCUGCAGAAGAAGCACCGGCUAACUACGUG